UACUCGAGUGGCGAACGGGUGAGUAACACGUGGGUGAUCUGCCCUGCACUUCGGGAUAAGCCUGGGAAACUGGGUCUAAUACCGGAUAGGACGAUGGUUUGGAUGCCAUUGUGGAAAGUUUUUCGGUGUGGGAUGAGCUCGCGGCCUAUCAGCUUGUUGGUGGGGUAAUGGCCUACCAAGGCGUCGACGGGUAGCCGGCCUGAGAGGGUGUACGGCCACAUUGGGACUGAGACACGGCCCAG
rnacentral:rRNA from 1 species